CGAGAUUUUGAAAAUAACGGCCUGACGUGUGGUCAAACAAAAUGUUCAGAUGGAGAGCAUUGUUGCAGUAAGGACGAAGGGGAGGAAAAUAACUGUUGUUGUAAAAGUAGCGCAACAGGAUUCACUAGACAUUGUUAUUCUGGGACAUCUGUUCAAUUUCCAUGGUGGGCAGGUGUGAUUAUAGGUAUUGUGGUGAUUGCCAUUAUUGCAGCCGUCGUGAUCAUACUGUAUAGACGAAGGAGGAGACAGGCAGCAUAGCGCUUUUCACGAAUGUAGAGUUACGGUUGUUUUAGCUGAGAUAAUUCACCUAUGAGUUCCAGAAAACUGGAUGUUCUUCAAUGUUUGAACUCACUGAAUUUAAAUAACAUGUUAAAGGUUACCAUAAAUAUCUUCUAGUCUUAUUGGAAAAUCCCGAAUAAAUUCCGUAUUUCAAUC
rnacentral:misc_RNA from 1 species